ACAGAGAUUAUGAAAUCAUUCAGCUGUGAACACGGCAUUCACGCUUCAUACCCCGAACUGGUAAAAGAGAUUAGACACGACUUGAUUUCAAGGUGUAAGGUGUGUUUGAGGAUUGUCUCGUUUUGCUUGACGUGCCAUGCAACAGCUACUUAAACUUCUCAAUCGGCGAAUCAGCAAGUACAUUUCCGGAAAAAGUCGAACUGGGCAUUUAACCACAUUUGUCGGAUGGUGAUGUCACUCUGAGAAAACACAAUAGCAAAAGGAUGAAUGAGCAGAGUGAAAAGAAUGUUGCAACAUCAGAUCAUGAACCUACUGACCAUUCAUUCGAAAGUGAUGGUUCAGUAUUCAUUCAGAUCAGUGGACCUGCCGAGCAGACGCUUGGAAAAAAUAUCAUGAAUGUUUUCA